AAAGUCGUAACAAGGUUUCCGUAGGUGAACCUGCGGAAGGAUCAUUAACACGUAUCCAACGUUAAAAACCCCGUGCAUAUUAACCCUGCUCUCUUCGGCCUUGAUAAGCAAUCUCUGGUAAAUCACACAGAACAGUUUGAUUCAGAGACUUCUUUGAAGACGUCGGGGAUCGAGCGGUAGAGCAAAUAGACUUGGUUUCCGAAAGGAUAACUGAUACUUACUCAGAUCGUUGGCCCUCACGGUCAACGGACAAGUCUCUGGGGCUUCGGCUCCCCUUCUAUUUAACCCCUGUAUGUGAAAGUCGGGCUUGCAAACUACAGGCCCACAAAACGAACAACUGUUAACAAUGGAUAUCUUGGUUCUC
rnacentral:misc_RNA from 1 species